AUCCCUUGGAUAUUCGCUCGUGGUUUGGGAUUGAUUAGGAGUGGAGAUCCAGAGAAAAUGCUACUGGAGUGCCUAUAGAGUGUUGGUGUCGAUCAACAUCAGUGGUGGGUGUCGCUUGACACCAACGUUUUGUUCCGCGAGGAUAGUUGCGACUCGCGAUCGACACCAGUCAUCACUUAUGGCGUUUUAUGUAAAAGAGAAGGUGUGACUGUGGAAUCAUGGGGAGGAGAAAAGAAUGAUCUAGAGGCUCGUUGGAUGUUUUAAAUAAUAUGCAAUUGCUAUUGUUAGAAAUGCUAGUUCAUUGAAUCUUAAAGCAUGUUAGGUAUGUUGUCUGACUUGGAGUAAUUGCUGGAUUUGUUGAUUAUUGCAGUUUGUUUAUAGGUUUGACAAUUUGAUGUUUUCCGCUGGUCUAAAUAAUUAUGGUUGGUUUG